rnacentral:rRNA from 1 species
GACGAACGCUGGCGGCGUGCCUAAUACAUGCAAGUUGAGCGAUGAAGAUUGGUGCUUGCACCAAUUUGAAGAGCAGCGAACGGGUGAGUAACGCGUGGGGAAUCUGCCUUUGAGCGGGGGACAACAUUUGGAAACGAAUGCUAAUACCGCAUAAUAACUUUAAACAUAAGUUUUAAGUUUGAAAGAUGCAAUUGCAUCACUCAAAGAUGAUCCCGCGUUGUAUUAGCUAGUUGGUGAGGUAAAGGCUCACCAAGGCGAUGAUACAUAGCCGACCUGAGAGGGUGGUCGGCCACAUUGGGACUGAGACACGGCCCAAACUCCUGCGGGAGGCAGCAGUAGGGAAUCUUCGGCAAUGGACGAAAGUCUGACCGAGCAACGACGCGUGAGUGAAGAAGGUUUUCGGAUCGUAAAACUCUGUUGGUAGAGAAGAACGUUGGUGAGAGUGGAAAGCUCAUCAAGUGACGGUAACUACAGAGAAAGGGACGGCUAACUACGUG